rnacentral:rRNA from 1 species
UUUUAUUUGAGAGUUUGAUCCUGGCUCAGGAUGAACGCUGGCGGCGUGCCUAACACAUGCAAGUUGAGCGAUUUACUUCGGUAAAGAGCGGCGGACGGGUGAGUAACGCGUGGGUAACCUACCCUGUACACACGGAUAACAUACCGAAAGGUAUGCUAAUACGGGAUAAUAUAUUUGAGAGGCAUCUCUUGAAUAUCAAAGGUGAGCCAGUACAGGAUGGACCCGCGUCUGAUUAGCUAGUUGGUAAGGUAACGGCUUACCAAGGCGACGAUCAGUAGCCGACCUGAGAGGGUGAUCGGCCACAUUGGAACUGAGACACGGUCCAAACUCCUACGGGAGGCAGCAGUGGGGAAUAUUGCACAAUGGGCGAAAGCCUGAUGCAGCAACGCCGCGUGAGUGAUGAAGGCCUUCGGGUCGUAAAACUCUGUCCUCAAGGAAGAUAAUGACGGUACUUGAGGAGGAAGCCCCGGCUAACUACGUGCCAGCAGCCGCGGUAAUACGUAGGGGGCUAGCGUUAUCCGGAUUUACUGGGCGUAAAGGGUGCGUAGGCGGUCUUUCAAGUCAGGAGUGAAAGGCUACGGCUCAACCGUAGUAAGCUCUUGAAACUGGGAGACUUGAGUGCAGGAGAGGAGAGUGGAAUUCCUAGUGUAGCGGUGAAAUGCGUAGAUAUUAGGAGGAACACCAGUUGCGAAGGCGGCUCUCUGGACUGUAACUGACGCUGAGGCACGAAAGCGUGGGGAGCAAACAGGAUUAGAUACCCUG